rnacentral:rRNA from 1 species
GACGAACGCUGGCGGCGUGCUUAACACAUGCAAGUCGAACGGAAAGGCCCUGCUCUUGUGGGGUGCUCGAGUGGCGAACGGGUGAGUAACACGUGAGUAACCUGCCCUUGUCUUUGUGAUAACUUCAGGAAACUGGGGCUAAUACCGGAUAGGAGCUCCUGCUGCAUGGUGGGGGUUGGAAAGUUUCGGCGGUUGGGGAUGGACUCGCGGCUUAUCAGCUUGUUGGUGGGGUAGUGGCUUACCAAGGCUUUGACGGGUAGCCGGCCUGAGAGGGUGACCGGCCACAUUGGGACUGAGAUACGGCCCAGACUCCUACGGGAGGCAGCAGUGGGGAAUAUUGCACAAUGGGCGGAAGCCUGAUGCAGCAACGCCGCGUGCGGGAUGACGGCCUUCGGGUUGUAAACCGCUUUCGCCUGUGACGAAGCGUGAGUGACGGUAAUGGGUAAAGAAGCACCGGCUAACUACGUG